rnacentral:rRNA from 1 species
GACAGAGGUCCCGAGCGUUGUUCGGAUUCAUUGGGCGUAAAGGGUGUGUAGGAGGCUAGGUAAGUCAGGUGUGAAAUCUCAGAGCUUAACUCUGAAACGUGCGCUUGAUACUGCUUAGCUAGAGGAUCGGAGGGGGUAACGGAAUUUAUGGUGUAGCAGUGAAAUGCGUAGAUAUCAUAAGGAACACCGGUGGCGAAGGCGGUUACCUGGAAGAUUCCUGACUCUGAAACACGAAAGCCAGGGGAGCAAACGGG